UACACCGUCGCGGCGCCGACGCGAACAGCGGGCGGCUGGGAAGCACGCGUCAUUCAAGGACAACCAGUCCGCGAAUCUUCCACGAGCUUCCUGCAGCGCCAGGAGUGCUUCCUAGAAAGGCACGACGCACAGGAGGCCCCGAUCCAGGUCUCCUAUAUAUAUUCACCGGCGCGGCGAGGUUAAUCGGUUGCGCAGGAUUAUACUCUUCUUCGAGAGCCGCUCGGACGAUCGACGCGGAAGAAGGCCGUCUUCGACAAUGUCUACUUAUACUCGGAUGGCCGCGUUCUUCGCGGUGGUGGCCCUGCUUCUCUGCGUCCGGACGUCAUCGGGCCAGGGCAACUCGUACUCGGUCAGCAGCUUCCACCACGAGAGUUUCGGCCCCGACGGCAUCGUAAUGGGCCGCUCGGGCUACAAGGACUCGACGGGCAAGAGCCGCUUUACGCAUUACCAGGUGGGCAAGGACGGCAAGCGAAAGUUCAUCAGGGACGACCCCGAGGGUGACAUUGAGUCCAGGAGUCUGCUGCCAGACCCUUCCAAGGUCGGCUUCAGCUUCCCAGGAGGGUUCCCCGGUUUCCCAGACCCGCAUAUCGAGUUCUUCAAGGCCCUGGGCUUCCCCAAGAGCGCCUUCUUCCCCAGUUUUCCCCAGGAUCUGCUGCCACAUGAUCUCCUGCCACCUUCUGUAGCCAGCGGAUCUGGAAGCUACGGUCAAGGAGUGGAAAGUCGCAAGGGCAGCACGAACAACAACUUCCCCUCGUCUGCACGUGCACGCCCCUCCUACUGAGAUCCCGGACAACUCCUUCCUCCCGUACGGACACUACUGCAUGACGUGGCGACUCUCGAAAAAACCACAUCUACGACAGAUUUUUUCGGCGGGUCUCUGCUGCCGCCUGUCAUCACCACACACCACUUCUUUCCGCCUGACCUACUUCCACGAGAACUGCAGACCACACCGUCCCCAGGAGCCAGUGGGGCCAAGGGUACUCGCCCCGCCCCCCUGCCUGCACCGGGUCUCUCAGAGACCUCACCGCCACAAAACAGGCGCAUCCCACUGCCACCAGUGCCUAGGGAGCAGGCAAAUCAACGCUACACUCUGCAGUGACAAAAGGAAAAAUAAGACUCGGGCGGUCGAUGCCUCCUGUUCUUCCUCCCGUUAGGCAGGGAGCUGGUUGAGUGUCGCCGCUGUAGGACCAAUGUCCUUGCAUGAAUGAUGUGGAAACAUCCCAACGAUGUAUUGAAAAUGCUCCUUGGACUCUGAAGCAUGAACUCAACAUGAGAAACUAAGGCUCAUUCACACCUGCGAGUAGCACCGGUAGCAUGACCGUUUUAACGACUGGCAACCAAAAAGCAAUUCAAGACGCAACCUAUACACAUCAUUGCACUAAAUUUGCGUCUCCUCGCAUUGCCACAGCCUCGUGAAAUAAGCUGACAUCCUGUUACUGACAUCUCACUGGUUCAAAGGUUAGCGGCCACAGUCACAUGACUUAAAGAUCAAGCAACGAGCGACCGAGCCAGAGCAGUCGCUUGGUGGCUGAAGUGACUAUUUGCGACCAAUCACCUUGCAGCUAGAUUGGCGGCAUGGCUUGUGCUAGUCCCAGGUGUGAAUGAGCUUUCGCUGUGUUAAAAUACCAUUUCUGAGCGAUUCCUAUGACGAGUUCCUUAAGGAACACUACUCUCUGUUCUCGUGAUUUCCAUAAAAAACGUCCCAGUCGUUACGAAAAGCUCUAUAAUCCCUCAGUGGCAGUCACAUCACAGCAACAUAACCCAAAAUGUGGCACUCUUUUCCAUGUGGCAUUCAGGCAGAAGCUUUGCGUCAAAAAGAAGUUAUGAACACAUUUGAAAGUAAAAUUUUGCAGUGAAUUGCGGUACAGUCAAUGCAUCGGCAGUGAGUGGUCACGCACUGCUCAACUGUAUGUAAUAAAGUUUUCGCAAAGCUAGACCAAAUGUUGUCAAAGUAGCUCUAACAAAGACGUUGUCACUCAUGCCGGUAAACAGAUUUCAAGAUGUGUAGACUAGAUUCAUCGAGCUAACCAUUCUUUAAUUAUUGCCUUCGUGUUUAAAUCCAAGCCACAUAAGAAUUUCAAGUACUGAUACACUGUCGAGCCUCCAUUAUAUUGGAAGCCGUGUAAGCAAAUUCAGCGCUAAAUGCAAGAACAUAAAGUAUUAUAUGAAGAGUGUGUAAAGAGACUUUAUCGAGGCAUAACAGUAAUAACAAUGAGCAAGUUUUUUCUCCAUGCAUAUAUGAACGAAACAUCCCAUUUUCGCACCACUUUCACAAGAGAGUUCGUUCUUUUUUCCAUGCCAGUUUGGUGCUUUUGUCAGAACUGUACCAGAAGUCUUUCCAGCCAAAGAAUUGUAAAUUGUGCACCUGUCAUACCAAUCACUUUUAUGUCACGGACUUACUUUUACAGCAAAUAAAAGCCAUGUACCUUUGUGGGGAAAAAAAUAAACAUGUUGCAAAUACUAUGC
rnacentral:misc_RNA from 1 species